rnacentral:tRNA from 1 species
CCUCUGUGGUGAAAUGGUAAACACUCAUGACUUAAAAUCAUGUGCUUUAAGGCUUACCGGUUCAAGUCCGGUCAGAGGUA